rnacentral:rRNA from 1 species
UACGGAGGGUGCAAACGUUGCUCGGAAUCAUUGGGCGUAAAGCGCACGUAGGCGGUCCAGCAAGUCGGGUGUGAAAGCCCUCGGCUUAACCGAGGAAGUGCAUUCGAAACUACUGGACUUGAAUACUGGGGAGGAUCGCGGAAUUCCCGGUGUAGAGGUGAAAUUCGUAGAUAUCGGGAGGAACAACAGUGGCGAAGGCGGCGAUCUGGACAGAUAUUGACGCUGAGGUGCGAAAGCGUGGGGAGCAAACAGG